UGCCAGACUCCUACGGGAGGCAGCAGUGGGGAAUAUUGGACAAUGGGGGGAACCCUGAUCCAGCGACGCCGCGUGAGUGAAGAAGUAUUUCGGUAUGUAAAGCUCUAUCAGCAGGGAAGAAAGAAAUGACGGUACCUGACUAAGAAGCCCCGGCUAACUACGUGCCAGCAGCCGCGGUAAUACGUAGGGGGCAAGCGUUAUCCGGAUUUACUGGGUGUAAAGGGAGCGUAGACGGUUACGCAAGUCUGGAGUGAAAGGCGGGGGCCCAACCCCCGGACUGCUUUGGAAACUGUAUAACUGGAGUGCAGGAGAGGUAAGUGGAAUUCCUAGUGUAGCGGUGAAAUGCGUAGAUAUUAGGAGGAACACCAGUGGCGAAGGCGGCUUACUGGACCACAACUGACGCUGAGACACGAAAGCGUGGGGAGCAAACAGGAUUAGAUACCCCGGUAC
rnacentral:rRNA from 1 species